rnacentral:lncRNA from 1 species
GGUAACUUAAGGGUUGAAGCAUUAGCUCUUUGGUGAAACUAACUAUGUCAUCAGCACAAGCCUUGAACAUGUUGAUAAGGAUAUGAAAUGCUAGAUGGUAAGAAUGGCAUUGGACAGAAUACACAGUAUUCUGGUGCAGUGCAGGUACUCAGAGAAAACUGAUUAACACAUAGCCUCGCUGCAAGAGCACACUGAUGUAAAGAAGGUUAAAUCUGAUAGAUGGUGGAGCCACUGCCAGCGGACCGAGUGCCAAGCUGCUGGUGAUCAGGGUCGCAGAGUCGCCGUACUGCAGUGCCGUGUACUUACACGAUAAGGAAGCGAAUCUCUCUAUAUGUGCAUUGAUUGAGAGUGUCGAGAUUCAAUGUUAUAAGAUUAAUAGCUGGCACGACUAUACUAGUCUUUAUAUACAUAUUGUAAAAUCUUAAUUGAGUGCCGAGUUAUGGCAGUGUGUAGUCUAGACCAGGCCAUGAUAGUAGGUAAAACAAACAAAGCUAUGUAUAGAUUGUGACUUAUGUCGAUUCGAAGAUUCUUGUAAUGUAAGCUUGUUGCGUGAAUCAAAUUUUAAACAAAAUAUUGAUAGGUAAAUUUAUGUUGGAAAACUGCUCAGAACAGGCCUUAAAGGCAGACUGUCUGGGGCAGGCCCUGAUUGUUGAUGAUGAUAUUAUUUACCAUAACAAACAUAUAAGAUUGAAAAGGUUAAUACCUUUUGAUUGAUUGAUUAUGAUGAAUGAAGGAGCAGACUGUCUGGAACAGGUCCUGACUGGGUUGGGCCUAACAUUCUAGAGCAGGCCGUGAAGGCAGACUGUCUAGAACAGGCUAUGAUACCAGUUUGGCAUUCUAGAGCAGGCCGUUAUGGCAGACUGUCUAGACCACACCAGUCUAGAGCAGGCCAUACCAAAUUAUAAAAUUAUAUUGAUUGAUUAGGUUGAAUGAAGGAGCAGACUGUCUGGAACAGGUUUGGGUAGUAGCCUGACAUUCUAGAGCAGGCCGUGAAGGCAGACUGUCUAGAACAGGCUAUAAUACCAUCUUGACAUUCUAGAGCAGGCCGAUAUGGCAGACUGUCUAGGCCACACCAGUCUAGAGCAGGCCAUAAUUUAAUUGAUUGAUUGGCAGACCGCCUUGAUUAGUCAAGAACGGGCCAUAACAAAUUAUAUUUUGUUGAUGAAAAGAGCAGGCCUUAAAGGCAGACUGCGGAUGUUUAUGGUAUAAUAUCUCUUAUUAAUAUGUUCAGAACAGGCCUUUAGGUUGACUGUUAAUGAUAUAUACUUUGUUAAUAUAAUUAGAACAGGCUUGUAAGCAGACUGAUUAUUAGUGAUAUAAUAUACUUUAUUAAUAUGAUAAGAGCAGGCCUAGUCUAGUAGGCAGACUGUGAUGUUAAUUAGAAAAUAUACUUUUGCUAAUAUGUUAUACUUUGGAACCGGCCUUGAAGGCAGACUGAGAUAGUUAAUGAUAUAAUAUAAAAACCUCGAUAAUAUGAUUAGAAUUGACUUUGUAAGCUGAAUGUGACUAUUAAUGAUAUAUUAUACUUAGUCAAUACUUAAAUAACAAGCCUAGUAGGCAGAGAUUGAUAAUGAUGUUUUAUAUACUUUGAUAAAAUGGAUAAUCAUACUGGUUAUAAAACAGGUAUUGUAAACAGACUGAGAUAGUUAAUGAUAAUACUUUGUUCAUAUGAUUAGAACAUUUGUGGACAAACUGAGAGUGUUAAUCACUUUAUAUUAUGUACAAAAUUCAAACUGCCUAUGGCAUUGUUAAUGAUACAUAAUUCGUUAAUAUGUUUAGAACUGACCUUUGAAAGCGGACUGAGAUUAUUAUUUAUAUAUAUACUUUGUUAAUGUGAUAAGAACAGUUCCUGAAAGCUGUGAAAGACCGAGGGUUGCGAUUGAUCAAGACACGCAUUGAAUAUAAUGAUCUAAUUUGCCAGAAUGUUGAGUAGGCCUUGAAGACAGGCUGCGGUUGUUAAUGGUCGUUUAUACCUACUUGUAUUAAUUGCUUGGAGCAGUCUAUGAUUGUAAAUUAGUUGCUAGAUUGGAAAACUUCAACGAAAUGCAAGCUGUUACAGCUACUUGAUGUAGGUAAUGCAAGUGUUUAUAAUAUGUUGAAUAUUACAAAAAAAAGUUAUGCAUAGGUUUAGAGCAGGCAUUAGGACAGGCUGUAUUGAUGUUGAUUUUUACUUACUCAUAAACUGUCUAGAAGAGCAUGAUUUAAGUUCCUUAAUAUAUUAAUGAAAGAUAGGUAACUGCAGAUUAAAAGUGAUCUUGAUUUGUGAUUUUAUGAGAUUAAAAGGCUGAUGAUUUUAUAUGUGUUAAACUGAUAGCUCUUGUAUAUUUAAUAACUGUAAUAAGGUUACGAAAGAAUUUAAGAUUUUGUAUAUGUGUUAUACUGAUUAUUUAAUAAGGUUUAGGAGAAGGAUACUGUAGUAAUGAAUGUCUGUGGAUUGAUACUGUAGUAAUGAAUGUAGACAUUAAGCGUAGAUAGGUACCCGUACGUUUGUUACCACUGUUAUUGAGGUGAAUAUGUUUAGUGAGAGGGCUCACUUUAUAAUAAGGACGGCCGAAGCUGUAAGCAUCACAAUGAAUAACAUUCUGUAUAUAUAGCCUUAUACUGAUCGUAGCUCAUCUGUGCAUGGGCUUAACGAAUGUCAACAGUAAACGUCAGAUUUGGCGGCACUUCACUUUUUAGGUUAUAAGAGUUUUUGUACGGAUUGUAACUACUGAUAGUAGAUGAUUAAUGAUUUGAUUAAUGUUAUAUUCCUGAUUAUUAUUUGACACUGUAAUUGAAGCAAUCAAUGUAAUAAAGCAAAUGUAGCUGGAA